AGUUGGAGAAGAUGCCCUGCUAGAUGGGGGCUCGAAGCCUGUCCUUUCAAACACCGAAGGGGAUGAUGAUGCUACUCGUCCGAUAAUCACUAAACAGAUGACCACAGUUGGAGACGAUGCCCUGCUAGAUGGGGGCUCGAAGCCUGUCCUUUCAAACACCGAAGGGGAUGAUGAUGCUACUCGUCCGAUAAUCACUAAACAGAUGACCACAGUUGGAGACGAUGCCCUGCUAGAUGGGGGCUCGAAGCCUGUCCUUUCAAACACCGAAGGGGAUGAUGUUGCUACUCGUCCGAUAAUCACUAAACAGGUACAUUCAUGUUUAUCACUUCAAAUGUAAUUAUAGUCUCUCUCA
rnacentral:lncRNA from 1 species